rnacentral:lncRNA from 1 species
CCCCGCUCUACCUGGCCCCUGUCUCUGGGCUCAAGAAUAACUGUGUUUUGAAAGAGAAGGGGUGAGAGGGAAAAUGACUGGUAGGGAAGUGGAGAGGUGUGAUAAUAAUAUCCGACUGCGCUGGAGAGACUGACUGGGACACAGACGUCGUUGUAUGAGGAGGACGAUCAUUUUUCAUCCUAAAGAACAACCCUCUAUCUCUCCAUCAUUUUGUCUCUACCUUCCAGUCCCAGGUGGUCAUGUUAACGUAAGGGAACAUGACAAAAUAGAUUCCUAAGGAAUAAGAGGGUGUCAUCAUAGAUUAACCUUCAUCCUUUUCUUCUGACGUUCAUUAUGUGUUUCUGGUCAUAAUCCUGUCAUUUCCCUCCUUACCUCUCUCUCUCUCUCCCUCUCUCUCUUUCUCUCCCUCUUUCUCUCCCUCCUUACGUCUCUCUCUUCCUCUCUCUCUCUCCUUCCUUACCUCUCUCUCUCUCUCUCUCUUCCUCUCUUUCUAUCCCUCCUUACUUCUCUCUUCCUCUCUCUCUCCUUCCUUACCUCUCUCUCUCCCUCUUACUGCCAUCUGUGUGUUUUAUCACUGUCAUUCCUUCCUCAUCUCAACCUCUUCUGUCUCAACAGUAUCUGUGUGUGUGUACAUGUCCACUGGGUGUGAGCAUGCUCUCUCUGUCUCUCUCAUCUCGCCCCUCUUUUUCACUAUGCCUCACCCUCUCUCUCUCCCCCUUACUCUCUCUCUCCCCCUCUGUCUCCAUCUGGCUGUGUGUCUAUUUUGGUCAGAGACAUUUAGUGGGCCAUUAGGAUCUUGUGUUUGGAAGCCAGCAGGGCUUUUAACAAAGCAGCCAGACUGAUACACUCUCUCUCUCUCUCUCUCUCUCUCUCUCUCUCUCUCUCUCUCUCUCUCUCUCUCUCUCUCUCUCUCUCUCUCUCUCUCUCUCUCUCUCUCUCUCUCUCUCUCUCUCUCUCUAAAGGGGAAAUGUGGGUAUUUGUAUGAUAGAGAGGUAGAUAAGGGGGAGCAAGUGUCUAGGGCAGGGUUGCAUGAGCAAUAACUAAUAAAAUGAUACAACCAGCUCAUCAAACUGGGGGGUUUAUUCCCUACUUCCAACACUUCUCAACCCUCCGGAAUAUUUUCAUUGAAAAAGGGCGUAUCAUGACUAGCCUGUAGCACACUACAUCUCAGCUGAAUUGUAUGCACAGACAGAAACACAAACACAGACAACCACACACACACCCUUCAGAAUGCAGGGAUGUAAAAGAAGGGCCUUCAGGCAAAGAGAUGACACUGGCCCUCUACACACUUGAGUACCCUCUACCUCCUGUAACUGCAAUCCUCACAGACACGUACACACACAAACACACACGUGCACACACCUCUCAGUCCUCGACUAAAAAGUGCAGUGGUUAAAUCAGGUCUCCUCUCUCUGUGCUAUCCCAGUGGUUAACUCAGGUUCCUCUCUGUGCUAUCCCAGUGGUUAACUCAGGUUCCUCUCUCUGUGCUAUCCCAGUAGUUAACUCAGGUUCCUCACUCUGUGCUAUCCCAGUAGUUAACUCAGGUUCCUCUCUGUGCUAUCCCAGUGGUUAACUCAGGUCUCCUCUCUCUGUACUAUCCCCGUGGUUAACUCAGGUCCCCUCUCUCUGUGCUAGACCAGUGGUUAACUCAGGUCCCUCCCCACACACACACACACACACACACACACACACACACACACACACACACACACACACACACACACACA